AGGAUAGAGGUUGCGUGUUUCAUCAGUAGCCUGCCUGAUGCAGCAGGAGCAGAAGAUGGCAGAGGAAAGGGGAAUACGCCGAAAGAAUAAAGUCCCUGCGGUUUUAUUCUUGGGCAUGCAGUUAAGAACUGUAUGACUGUCAUCGAAAGAUGGUGCGCUAUCUA
rnacentral:ncRNA from 1 species